CACGUAGGCACCAAGCGUUGUCCGGAUUUAUUGGGCGUAAAGAGCUCGUAGGCGGUUCGGUAAGUCGGGUGUGAAAACUUUGGGCUCAACCCAAAGCGUGCACUCGAUACUGCCGUGACUAGAGUUCGGUAGGGGAGCGGGAAUUCCCGGUGUAGCGGUGAAAUGCGCAGAUAUCGGGAGGAACACCUAUGGCGAAGGCAGCUCGCUGGGACGUUACUGACGCUGAGACGCGAAAGCGUGGGGGAGCAAACAGG
rnacentral:rRNA from 1 species